rnacentral:rRNA from 1 species
CCUACGGGAGGCAGCAGUGGGGAAUAUUGGGCAAUGGAGGAAACUCUGACCCAGCGACGCCGCGUGCGGGAUGAAGGCCUUCGGGUUGUAAACCGCUUUCAGUAGGGAAGAAGCGAAAGUGGCGGUACCUACAAAAGAAGCACCGGCUAACUAUGUGCCAGCAGCCGCGGUAAUACAUAGGGUGCAAGCGUUGUCCGGAAUUAUUGGGCGUAAAGAGCUCGUAGGUCGUUUGUUACGUCGGAUGUGAAAACCUGAGGCUCAACCUCAGGCCUGCAUUCGAUACGGGCAAACUAGAGUUUGGUAGGGGAGACUGGAAUUCCUGGUGUAGCGGUGGAAUGCGCAGAUAUCAGGAGGAACACCAAUGGCGAAGGCAGGUCUCUGGGCCAAUACUGACACUGAGGAGCGAAAGUCUGGGGAGCGAACAGGAUUAGAUACCCUGGUAGUCCAGACCGUAAACGGUGGGCACUAGUUGUGGGAACCUUCCACGGUUUCUGCGACGCAGCUAACGCAUUAAGUGCCCCGCCUGGGGAGUACGAUCGCAAGAUUAAAACUCAAAGGAAUUGACGG